GUGAGUACCAUGUGCCGCCUUGUU
rnacentral:sRNA from 1 species